rnacentral:rRNA from 1 species
GAGACACGUAGCCGCAGUGAAAGCGAGCCUGAAGAGGGCGCACAGUCAGUGGGGGUAGACGCGAAACCAAGUGAUCUACACUUGGCCAGGAUGAAGUCCCGGUAACACGGGAUGGAGGUCCGCACCAAUAAGCGUUGAAAAGCUUCUGGAUGAGCCGAGUGUAGGAGUGAAAGGCCAAUCAAACUUGGAGAUAGCUCGUACUCCCCGAAAGGCAUUUAGGUGCCGCGUCGGAUGGUCACCGUGAGAGGUAGAGCGACCGAUAGGACAAGAGGGCUUCACCGCCUAUCGAGUCCUGACGAACUCCGAAUGCUCACGGUUUGCAGUCCGGCAGUAAGGGGGCGGGUGCUAAGGUCCGUCCCCGAGAGGAGAAGAAUCCAGACCGCCGUCUAAGGUCCCGGAGUUCUGCCUGAGUUAGUCUAACGAAGUCUGGUCCCUAUGACAGCUAGGAUGUUGGCUUGGAAGCAGCCAUUCAUUCAAAGAGUGCGUAACAGCUCACUAGUCGAGGGUCCGGGCAUGGAUAAUAAUCGGGUAUAAGGCAGACACCGAAGGCGCGGGAUAGCAAUUUUAAAAGUAUCGGUAGGGGAGCAUACUCACAGCGUCGAAUGGUGUACGUAAGUUAUCCUGGAGCGGUGAGUAAAGCAAAUGUAGGAAUAAGUAACGAUAAGGAGGGUUAGAUUCCCUCCCGCUGUAAGACCAAGGUUUCCCGGGCAAUGCCAAUCAGCCCGGGGUCAGUCGGGUCCUAAGUCUAAGCCGAACGGCGAUGGCGAUGGCAGAGACGGUUAAUAUUCCGUCACUGCCGCAUGGGGCGAUGUGGAGACGGAGCAGUGAAACCACCGCGGGGCGACGGAAGUCCCCGUUGAAGGGUGUAGGUGUUGAGGAGAGCAGGCAAAUCCACUCUCCGAGCUGAACCUGACAGUACGGAGUCCUCCUCGGAGGAAUCUGAUAGUGUGGGUAAUCAUACUCCCGAGAAAAUCCGCUAAGCUUAACCCAUGCGGCACCCGUACCGCAAACGGACACACGUGGUCGGGUAGAACAUACUAAGGCGUUGAGAGAUUCAUGGUUAAGGAACUAGGCAAAUUGACCCUGUAACUUCGGGAUAAAGGGUCCUCGUGAUGAGCGAGGCGCAGAGAAUAGGUCCAGGCAACUGUUUAACAAAAACACAGGGCUGUGCAAACUCGAAAGAUGACGUAUACAGCCUGACACCUGCCCGGUGCCGGAAGGUUAAGAGGAGAUGUCACUCUAUGGGAGGAAGCAUUGAAUUGAAGCCCCGGUAAACGGCGGCCGUAACUAUAACGGUCCUAAGGUAGCGAAAUUCCUUGUCGGGUAAGUUCCGACCUG